ACGCUCGACACCUACGGAGGCAGCAGUGGGGAAUAUUGCACAAUGGGGGAAACCCUGAUGCAGCGACGCCGCGUGGAGGAAGAAGGUCUUCGGAUUGUAAACUCCUGUUGUUGGGGAAAAAGAGGAUGGUACCCAACAAGGAAGUGACGGCUAACUACGUGCCAGCAGCCGUGGUAAUCUGAGGCGGGCUGGCAAGGC
rnacentral:rRNA from 1 species